rnacentral:rRNA from 1 species
UACGGAGGGUGCAAGCGUUGUCCGGAUUUAUUGGGUUUAAAGGGUGCGUAGGCGGUCUUUUAAGUCAGUGGUGAAAUCCUCCAGCUUAACUGGAGAACUGCCAUUGAUACUGAGAGACUUGAGUAUAGUUGAGGUAGGCGGAAUUGACGGUGUAGCGGUGAAAUGCAUAGAUAUCGAUCAAGAACCCCGAUGCGAAGGCAGCUUACUAAACUAUAACUGACGCUGAGGCACGAAAGUGCGGGGAUCAAACAGGAUUA